rnacentral:rRNA from 1 species
CCGAUCCCCGACCGGUUGCCCGUUCAUGGUAAGCUCCCGCUCGCGUGAAGCGGGGUGAGUCCCUUUCCCUCGCCUCUGGCGCGUCGGGGGCCCCAGUGGCGGGCGAUGGUCUUUUUAUUCUGUGGAAACCUGCUCGCAGGGGGGCGCAGGCCCGGGACUUGCCACCGACGCCGCCCGUCUUGUUCGUCUUCGUCGUCGUCCUUCCUCGUUGUCGGGCGGUCGGUGGGGGCGGCUGUCGGCAAGUACCAUGAGCAGGCAUGUUGGGACCCGAAAGAUGGUGAACUAUGCCUGGCCAGGAUGAAGCCAGAGGAAACUCUGGUGGAGGUCCGUAGCGAUUCUGACGUGCAAAUCGAUCGUCAGAGCUGGGUAUAGGGGCGAAAGACUAAUCGAACCAUAUAGUAGCUGGUUCCCUCCGAAGUUUCCCUCAGGAUAGCUGGAACUCGACACCGCAUGAAUUUCAUCCGGUAAAGCGAAUGAUUAGAGGUCUUGGGGACGAAACGUCCUCAACCUAUUCUCAAACUUUAAAUGGGUGAGAUGCCGAGCUUGCUUAGAUGAUGAAGCCUCGGCGAAGAAUCGGAGUUCCUAGUGGGCCACUUUU